UACGUAGGGUGCAAGCGUUGUCCGGAAUUAUUGGGCGUAAAGAGCUCGUAGGCGGUCAGUCGCGUCUGCUGUGAAAACUCGGGGCUUAACUCCGGGCCUGCAGUGGGUACGGGCUGACUAGAGUGCGGUAGGGGAGACUGGAAUUCCUGGUGUAGCGGUGAAAUGCGCAGAUAUCAGGAGGAACACCGGUGGCGAAGGCGGGUCUCUGGGCCGUAACUGACGCUGAGGAGCGAAAGCGUGGGGAGCGAACAAG
rnacentral:rRNA from 1 species